rnacentral:lncRNA from 1 species
UUGCAUGUCACACCGAUUACAAAAUAGAUUUUUCAUCAAGAGGUGCAAUAAAAAAGCCAAUAAUUUUGAAUAACUUUAUUUAGAAAUAUAUUUCAAUCCAUAUAUCACACAGUUACAAAUUAAUAGAGUAUGCCCUACUUAUAAAAAGUCAUAUUCAAUAAAUAACACUACUAUAUAUCAAAUUUUUUCUUAUCCUAUAAUUUCUUUACUGUGAAUUGAUGCAACAUCUUCGUAGAGUAACUCUUACUAAAUUUCAAAGAUUUUAGGCAAAUGUUGUUCUGAAGCUAUUUCCUUGUGGCAUUUUUAUAAUUAAGUAUUUUCUAUGGGAAAUAAGCCACAAUUUUACUAAAAAAUCAAUGUAAGAAUCACUUUAAACAAGGAUGGUACUUUAAUUAGUAUGUGUCUUUUAAAUGUUCCUUUUGAUUUUUAAAGAGAGGCAGAGUGAGUCUUUAAGCAGUCCCAUAUAUUUAAUAUUGUAUGUGUUUCAAUUUGGUUAUGGACUAUAAAAACAAACACUUAUCAGGUCUGUUCUUUUGUUUUCUGGUGUAGAACUAGUUCUAAAAAAGUGUAGAAGUGCUACACUAAGUCGUUCCUUUGCAAGGUGUAGUGGUACACCACUCAGUUCCAUUAAAAAGUGUAGCACCAGUCUAGAUAAAUCUAUACCUGCUUUAUUAUGAAGUUCUCACAUUAUACACAUUGUAAAGAUGGUGUACCAUCUUUUAUAUCGGUUCACAUAUCGACAAUCCACUAUUAUAACUCAAAAUGCCUCUCAAACGAUAAAUAACAUGAACAUUUACAUACAAAAACCUUCUGUUACAUUUAGACGAUCAAUCGUAAAUGCAGUUCAAAAAUAUGAACAAUACUUUUCGUUGGACGUUCUUUUUAUAACUCUUAGAUUAUUGGUUGCUGAAGUAUUAUUCUUACUUAGAAGUGAACUGGGAUAGUCCCUUUCAAAAUACAUCGCUGAUAUUUGGAACUUAUCUUUAGCAGUACUGUAUUAAUUUACAAGAAUAUCUUUAAAAAUAUUCUUUCAGUUUUGUCACAUGCAUUUUCAUUAUCAAUUGAUUGACAUAAGGGAUGUGCAAUUAAAUUAAAAAUAUAAUAGUAGUAGUAUAAAGAGGAUAUGAUAUAUCUACAGUGCUCCGCAUGGUGGCGUAAUUUUUAGAAUUGGAGGACGGUCUUACGUACAUUAUAUUUAAAAAAAAUGCCUAUCACGGUUCUUGUGUCGUUGUUGUUUACUUAGAUGGAGAAAUAAUAGAGUUAAAUGCUUUCGUUUUCAUACAUCCAAAAAUAGGUUGGAGCAAAUAAAAAAAUAGAUUAAAGCUGUUCGGAGACAGAAGUAUGUUGUUAACCUCACUUUUGGUUAAUGGUUAGUUAAGGGCAAUGAACAUAACCUAUCGUCUACGGUAUAACUAAAUACAUAUAAGGCGUGUAGAAGCCAAGUGAUAUACAUAAGUGCAUUUUUGGUACUUUUGAGAAAAUCAAGUUUAAGUUUAACACCUUUCCUAAAUUCUACCGCCUGUUUGUCAAAAUAGUUAGUGAUUGGAUGGUCUUUUUAACUUUAAAACCUUUUAUGUAAUAGUAUAUUUAUAUCAGAUUGAAAAAAACUUUUAUAAGAUAUUUUAGAAUAAGAAACAGCACUUAUACCCAGGGGCGUGCGGUCAAUGGAAGCAAGGGAAGCAUUGCUUCCCUUGGUAAUACCGAAUCAACUGAGUAACAGAUUACCUAAAAAAAAAA